AACCGCCGUAUACGGAACCGUACGUACGGUGGUGUGAGAGGACGGCGGAUGCAAAUCCGCCUCCUA
rnacentral:misc_RNA from 2 species